rnacentral:rRNA from 1 species
GGAAGGGAUGUAUUUAUUAGAUAAAAAACCAAUGCCCUCUGGGCUCCUUGGUGAUUCAUAAUAACUAAACGAAUCGCAUGGCCUUGCGCCGGCGAUGGUUCAUUCAAAUUUCUGCCCUAUCAACUUUCGAUGGUAGAAUAGUGGUCUACCAUGGUCUUAACGGGUAACGGGGAAUUAGGGUUCGACUCCGGAGAGGGAGCCUGAGAAACGGCUACCACAUCCAAGGAAGGCAGCAGGCGCGCAAAUUACCCAAUGCUAAUUCAGCGAGGUAGUGACAAUAAAUACUGAUACGGGGCUCUUUCGGGUCUCGUAAUUGGAAUGAGUACAAUCUAAAUCCCUUAACGAGGAACAAUUGGAGGGCAAGUCUGGUGCCAGCAGCCGCGGUAAUUCCAGCUCCAAUAGCGUAUAUUAAAGUUGUUGCCGUUAAAAAGCUCGUAGUUGAACCUUGGACCUGGCUGAUCUGUCCUCCUAAUCGAGCGCACGGAUUCGGUCGGGUCUUUCCUUCUGGGGAGCCCUAUGCCCUUCACUGGGUGUAGUGGGGAACCAGGACUUUUAC